AUGUUUGUUCCAGCUUAUUCUGCAAGCCAAUCCUUUGUUUUGUUUUGUGUUGUGGUAUUCGAGUUGCUUCUAUGUAAAAUGUGGAUUCCAUACCUUUUUCUAAAUGGUUUUCAUUUCAUCCGUCCCGAGCUGCCUUUGUUUUCCCGCCCUCCCACCCUUUUUCUACAAGGAAUCAGAUUUCUUAAUCAAGUAUCCUUUUAUUGGUGGGAAGUCUCUCCAUUCUUUUCGUCAAUGUUCUUAUCUGGUAAUUCUCAGGAAGAUACUAACAGAGCUUCAAGUUUAUCAUUCUUUGUUCUCUUAUCUUCUCCGGUGGAUUCAAUGCAAUAUUUCGGUGUUGAUCAUAUCCUUUUAUCGUUUCAAAUGCUUUCUCAUGCCGGUGCACCUCUUAAUCAUUCACUUCUCGCUAUUCAUUUGUUUCGGAGUGCUGAAGAUAUCUCAAAAGAUUCAAGUUUCCAUUCUCAGUUCGCUCAAGUUCUUUUGAGGAUGUUAUCUCAUUCAAGCCAGUUAAAUCAACCGGUGCAAUCUCCCUUUCAAGUAAUCAUUCGAAGGUGUAUCUUUGAGUGGGCCCUAAUGCACAGGUCUUUUCCCAGGAUCUUACAUGACUCUUCUAUUUCUCUCGGAGUUACUCCCAAAUUCUUCUCCAAGUUUGAUGUAACAAUGUAUUAUCAUCAGUCAUAUGUAUUUCUCCAAGAUCUUUCAAAUUCUUACAUCGUUGGCUCAACCUCUUCGCUUUUGAUUCUCCCGGAGUGUCUAAACAAUUCUUAG
rnacentral:rRNA from 1 species